rnacentral:tRNA from 1 species
GGAUCUGUAACUUAGUGGUUUUAUAGUGCACGCCUGAUAAGCGUGAAGUCAGUAGUUCGACUCUACUCAGAUCCA